AGUGGCGGACGGGUGAGUAACGCGUAGGAAUCUGCCUGUUAGUGGGGGACAACGUGGGGAAACCCACGCUAAUACCGCAUACGCCCUACGGGGGAAAGGAGGGGAUCUUCGGACCUUUCGCUAACAGAUGAGCCUGCGUUAGAUUAGCUAGUUGGUAGGGUAAAGGCCUACCAAGGCGACGAUCUAUAGCUGGUCUGAGAGGACGAUCAGCCACACUGGGACUGAGACACGGCCCAGACUCCUACGGGAGGCAGCAGUGGGGAAUAUUGGACAAUGGGCGAAAGCCUGAUCCAGCAAUACCGCGUGUGUGAAGAAGGCCUUAGGGUUGUAAAGCACUUUCAAUUGGGAGGAAAACCUACCGGUCAAUACCCGGUAGCUUGACAUUACCUUUAGAAGAAGCACCGGCUAACUCCGUGCCAGCAGCCGCGGUAAUACGGAGGGUGCGAGCGUUAAUCGGAAUUACUGGGCGUAAAGCGUGCGUAGGCGGUUCGUUAAGUCAGAUGUGAAAGCCCUGGGCUCAACCUGGGAACUGCAUUUGAAACUGGCGGACUAGAGUUUAGUAGAGGGGAGUGGAAUUUCAGGUGUAGCGGUGAAAUGCGUAGAUAUCUGAAGGAACACCAGUGGCGAAGGCGACUCCCUGGACUAGAACUGACGCUGAGGUACGAAAGCGUGGGUAGCAAAC
rnacentral:rRNA from 1 species